rnacentral:rRNA from 3 species
GUUGCCUCACCUUGGUAAGACUA